AUUGAACGCUGGCGGCAGGCUUAACACAUGCAAGUCGAACGGUAACAUAAAGAAGCUUGCUUCUUUGAUGACGAGUGGCGGACGGGUGAGUAAUGCUUGGGAAUCUAGCUUAUGGAGGGGGAUAACUACGGGAAACUGUAGCUAAUACCGCGUAAUAUCGAAAGAUUAAAGUGUGGGACCUUCGGGCCACAUGCCAUAGGAUGAGCCCAAGUGGGAUUAGGUAGUUGGUGAGGUAAAGGCUCACCAAGCCGACGAUCUCUAGCUGGUCUGAGAGGAUGACCAGCCACACUGGGACUGAGACACGGCCCAGACUCCUACGGGAGGCAGCAGUGGGGAAUAUUGCGCAAUGGGGGCAACCCUGACGCAGCCAUGCCGCAUGAAUGAAGAAGGCCUUCGGGUUGUAAAGUUCUUUCGGUAGCGAGGAAGGCAUUUAGUUUAAUAGACUAGGUGAUUGACGUUAACUACAGAAGAAGCACCGGCUAACUCCGUGCCAGCAGCCGCGGUAAUACGGAGGGUGCGAGCGUUAAUCGGAAUAACUGGGCGUAAAGGGCACGCAGGCGGUGACUUAAGUGAGGUGUGAAAGCCCCGGGCUUAACCUGGGAAUUGCAUUUCAUACUGGGUCGCUAGAGUACUUUAGGGAGGGGUAGAAUUCCACGUGUAGCGGUGAAAUGCGUAGAGAUGUGGAGGAAUACCGAAGGCGAAGGCAGCCCCUUGGGAAUGUACUGACGCUCAUGUGCGAAAGCGUGGGGAGCAAACAGG
rnacentral:rRNA from 1 species